UCAGCGACACCUUCACCAUCCUUCAUUUUGAAUUUGUCAAGUUGACUUUGGAGCACAUCCAACUUGGAUUCCUUGACGGAGUCGGUACCUUCAUGCAUAUCAAUCAAAGUAUACCAAAUUUUCUUUGCAUUCUCAAGAUGGUUGAUUUUGUUGAAAUUCUUCGGGGUACAAUCCGUUGAAGAGGAUAUCACAAACUUGAGCAUUGUAUUGCAGCAUCUUCAAUUCUUCCGUGCUAGCUUCACGGUUUGGUUCUCUCCCAUCAAAGAAUUCACCUUGCAAGCCAAUACACACAAUAGCCCAAAUGGCAGGGUUAUGUCCGAGAAUAUGCAUUUUCAUCUUAUGCUUCCAACUAGAAAAAUUAGUACCAUCAAAGUAAGGACCUCUAUGGUGAUAAUUUCCCUCGCUAGACGCCAUACUCUCCUAGGUUGUGAAACCAAGGCUAUGACCACCAAAAGCUAUGGAAAUCAAAGCAAAUGGAGACCAAGGCUCUGAUACCACUUGUCGGAUCGGAAGUAUGUCUAGAGGGGGGGUGGUUAGACUACUUGACCAAAUAAAAACUUAAACUUUUCCCAAUUUUAGUCUUUGGCAGAUUUUAGCAACCUUAGCACAAGUCAAGCAAUCUUCACACAAUUCAAGCAAGCAUGCAAAGAGUAUAUGAGCAGCGGAAAGUAAAGCAUGCAACUUGCAAGAAUGUAAAGGGGAAGGGUUUGGAGAAUUCAAACGCAAUUGGAGACACGGAUGUUUUUGUCGUGGUUCCGAUAGGUGGUGCUAUCGUACAUCCACGUUGAUGGAGACUUCAACCCACGAAGGGUAACGGUUGCGUGAGUCCACGGAGGGCUCCACCCACGAAGGGUCCACGAAGAAGCAACCUUCUCUAUCCCACCAUGGCCGCCGCCCACGAAGGACUUGCCUCACUAGCGGUAGAUCUUCACGAAGUAGGCGAUCUCCUUGCCCUUACAAACUCCUUGGUUCAACUCCACAAUCUUGUCGGAGGCUCCCAAGUGACACCUAGAAAAUCUAGGAGACACCACUCUCCAAGAAGUAACAAAUCAUGUGUUGAUGAUGAACUCCUUGCUCUUGUGCUUCAAAUGAUAGUCUCCCUAUGUCUACUACACAACCUUCUUCUUGUAGACGUUGUUGGGCCUGCAAGUGCACAGGUUUGUAGAAUAGUAGCAAAUUUCCCUCAAGUGGAUGACCUAAGGUUUAUCAAUCCGUAGGAGGCGUAGGAUGAAGAUGGUCUCUCUCAAACAACCCUGCAACCAAAUAACAAAAAGUCUCUUGUGUCCCCAACACACCCAAUACAAUGGUAAAUUGUAUAGGUGCACUAGUUCGGCGAAGAGAUGAAGAUACAAGUGCAAAAUAGAUAGUAGAUAUAGGUUUUUGUAAUCUGAAAUAAUAAAAACAGCAAGGUAACUAAUGAUAAAAGUGAGCAUAAACGGUAUUGCAAUGAUAGGAAACAAGGCCUAGGGUUCAUACUUUCACUAGUGCAUGUUCUCUCAACAAUAAUAACAUAGAUAGAUCAUAUAACAAUCCCUCAACAUGCAACAAAGAGUCACUCCAAAGACACUAAUAGCGGAGAACAAACGAAGAGAUUAUGGUAGGGUACGAAACCACCUCAAAGUUAUUCUUUCGGAUCGAUCUAUAAAAGAGUCCGUACUAGAAUAACACCUUAAGACAUAAAUCAACCAAAACCCUAAUGUCACCUAGAUACUCCAUUGUCACCUCAAGUAUCCGUGGGCAUGAUUAUACGAUAUGCAUCACACAAUCUCAGAUUCAUCUAUUCAACCAACACAAAGUACUUCAAAGAGUGUCCCAAAGUUUCUAUCGGAGAGUCAAGAACGUGUGCCAACCCCUAUGCAUAGGUUCAUGGGCGGAACCCGCAAGUUGGUCACCAAAACAUACAUCAAGAGGCACAUGAUAUCCCAUUGUCACCACAGAUAAGCAGGGAAAGACAUACAUCAAGUGUUCUCAUAAAAGACUCAAUCCGAUAAGAUAACUUCAAAGGGGAAAACUCAAUUCAUCACAAGAGAGUAGAGGGGGAGAAACAUCAUAAGAUCCAACUACAAUAGCAAAUCUCGGGAUACAUCAAGAUCGUGCCAUAGAGGGAACACGAGAGAGAGAGAGAGAUCAAACACAUAGCUACUGGUACAUACCCUCAGCCCCGAGGGUGAACUACUCCCUCCUCGUCAUGGAGAGCGCUGGGAUGAUGAAGAUGGCCACCGGUGAUGGAUCCCCCCUUUGGCAGGGUGGCGGGAAGGGCUCCCGAGAGGUUUUUGGUGGCUAUAGAGGCUUGCGGCGGCGGAACUCCCGAUCUAUCUUCUCACUGGAUGUUUUUAGGGUACGUGGGACUAUAUAGGCGAAAGAAGUCGGUCGGGGGGUGCUCGAGGGGCCCACGAGACAAGGGGCACGCCCUCCUAUCUCGUGGAGUCCUCGAGUAUCUUCUGACUUGAGCUCCACGUCUCCAGGAUGAUAUUCUUCCAAAAAAUCACGUUGCCGAAGGUUUCAUUCCGUUUGGACUCCGUUUGAUAUUCCUUUUCUUCGAAAUACUGAAACAAGCAAUAAAACAGCAAUAUGGGCUGGGCCUCCGGUUAAUAGGUUAGUCCCAAAAGUAAUAUAAAAGUGUAUAAUAAAGCCCAUAAUAAUCAUUCAAAACACAUAGUAAUAUAGCAUGAAUGCUUCAUAAAUUAUAGAUACGUUGGAGACGUAUCACUCCCCAACACUCAACUCUCUCUCACAGGAUUUGGAUUUGGUGGAAAGAAGAUUUGAGUGGAAAGCAACUUGGGGACGGCUAGAGAUCAAGAUUCAUAUGGUAGGAAUGGAAUAUCUUGGCCUCAACAAAUGAGUAGGUGGUUCUCUCUCAGAAACAGCAAGUUGGUAGUGUAGGCUUGUUCUGAUGGCUCUCUCCUAGAAUGAAGAGGAGGUGGAGGGGUAUAUAUAGCCUCCACACAAAAUCUAACCGUUACACACAAUUUACCAAUCUCGGUGGGACCAAAUCAACAAACUCGGUCAGACCAAUUUAGUAAACCUAGUGACCGUUAGGAUUUUCGGUGGGACCGACAUGCAACUCGGUAGGACCGAUAUGGUUAGGGUUAGGGCAUAAGGUAAUCUCGGUGAGACCGAUUACUCAAACUCGGUGAGACCGAUUUUGGUAAAAAGCUAACCAGAGAGUUGGUCAGGUAAACUCGGUGGGACCGGUUCGCUCUUUUCGGUGAGACCGAAAUGUUACGAAAAGGAAAUAGAGAGUUUACAUUGCAAUCUCGGUGGGACCGAUCGCUCAUCUCGGUGGUACCGAAACGUUACGAAGGGAAACAGAGAGAUUACAAUCCCAUCUCGGUGAGACCGAGAUCCCUAUCGGUGAGACCGAUUUGCCUAGGGUUUGUGAUAUUGGCUAUGACAUCUGAACUCGGUGGCGCCGGAUAGAAAGAAUCGGUGGGGCCGAGUUUGAUUUUUGGUUUAGGUCAUAUGUGGAUAUGAGAAAGUAGUUGAGGGUUUUUGGAGCAUAUCACUAAGCAUUGUGGAGCAAGAAACUCAUUAAACAACACCUCAUCCCUCCUUGAUAUUAUUGGCUUUUCCUAUAGACUCAAUGUGAUCUUGGAUCACUAAAAUGUAAAAUAUAGAGUCUUGAGCUUCUGAGCUUGAGCCAAUCCUUUUAUCUUUAGAAUUUUGAGGGAUCCACUUUCCUCAUCCAUGCCAUGCCAUUCAUUGAACUUUUCCUGAAAUGUUUAUCUUGGAAUGAUGUUAGCUCAAUGAGCUAUAUGUUGUUAGGAAUUACCAAAACCACCUAGGGAUAAUUGCACUUUCAGAAGGUCAUCAAUAGAGAAGUGAAUAUGGUCGCUCCGGCGGUGACGACCACAUACGGGAGAUGGUCUCACAUAGCCAUCACGUUUGACCAGUCUGACCAUCCUGCUCGUGUAGCCACCCCUGGGAGGCAAGCACUGGUGGUCGACCCCGUGGUUGGGGGCACUCGACUGACCAAAGUACUGAUGGACGGUGGCAGUGGUUUGAACAUCCUUUAUGCUGGAACCUUGAAGGGGAUGGGCAUUCCGAUGUCCAAACUUAGCGAGUGCAACAUGAGUUUUCAUGGUGUUAUCCCUGGAAAGAAAGCCGAAUCACUCGGCCAGAUCGCCCUCGACGUGGUUUUUGGUGAUUCCAAGCAUUACCAUAAGGAGAAGUUGACAUUUGAAGUUGUGGAUUUCCAGAGUGCCUAUCAUGCCAUUCUGGGUAGGCCAGCCUAUGCACGUUUUAUGGCUCGACCAUGUUAUGUGUAUCUCAAGCUGAAGAUGCCUGGCCCCAAAGGUGUGAUCACAGUUACUGGCAAUCGGCAGAAGGCAGAGGAAUGCUUCCAGAAAGGUUCCAAAAUCGCCGAUGCACAGAUGGCAACAGUUGAAUUCCAAGAGUAUCAGAAGAGUGCAGAUCCGAGUGAUUUGCUCCGAGCCAAGAAUCCUGCUACAGACUCUGCAUUUCAGUCGACUGGUGAAACAAAGCCGAUUCAUAUUAUCCCGACCGGUCCCAAUGCUGCACCGACUCAUAUAUCAACAAUACUCGACAGCAAAUAGGAUGAAGCGCUCGUCCAGUUCCUCCGUGUGGACUGGGACAUCUUUGCAUGGAAACCCUCUGACAUGCCAGGUGUACCCAGGGGACUGGCUGAGCACCGUUUGCGUGUCGACCCCAAGGUAAAACCCGUCAAACAGCACCUUCGGCGGUCCGCCGCGCAGAAGAGAAAAGCAAUUGGCGAAGAAGUGGCUCGGUUGUUGGCAGCAGAGUUCAUCCGUGAAAUCUACCACUCCGAGUGGCUAGCCAAUGUAGUCAUGGUCCCUAAGAAGGAUGAUUCACUUCGUAUGUGCAUUGAUUUCAAGCACAUUAAUCGGGCCUGCCCAAAAGAUCACUUCCCUCUCCCUCGCAUCGAUCAGAUUGUUGACUCGACUGUAGGGUGGUAGCGCUUGUGUUUCUUAGAUGCAUAUUCCGGGUAUCAUCAGAUCCGUCUGUAUGGUCCCGAUGAAAUGAAAACAGCCUUCAUCACCCCGUUCGGGUGCUUUUGUUAUGUCACCAUGCCAUUUGGUCUUAAAAAUGCUGGAGCCACAUUCAUGAGAAUGAUUCAGAAGUGCCUGCUCACUCAAAUCAGUCAGAAUGUGGAAGCAUGCAUGGGUGACAUUGUGGUCAAGUCUCGCAAAUGUUCCGACUUAUUGACUGACCUCGCAGAAACCUUUGCCAACCUAAGAAGGUACGAUAUCAAGCUUAAUCCGUCAAAGUGCACAUUCGGAGUUUCAGGAGGAAAGUUACUCGGUUUUCUCGUUUCCGAACGAGGGAACGAUGCCAAUCCAGAAAAAGUUGAUACCAUCCUCCGAAUGAAACGCCUCGUGCGAGUGCAUGACGUUUAGAAGCUGACUGGUUGUUUGGCCGCCUUGAGUCGAUUCAUUUCUCGUCUCGGUGAAAAGGCCUUACCUCUUUACCGGCUGAUGAAGAAAUCUAAUAAGUUUGAGUGGAAUGAAGAAGCUGAUGCAGCGUUUGCAGAGCUCAAAGCCCUGCUUUCCACCCAGCCGGUGCUUGCUGUGCCAAUCAGCAAAGAGCCUUUACAGCUUUACAUUGCAGCCACUGGACAAGUUGUCAGUACAGUACUCACGGUCGAGCGAGAAGAGGAAGGAAAAGCUUACAAGGUUCAACGCCCAGUUUAUUAUCUCUCUGAAGUUUUGACUCCAUCCAAGCAACGAUAUCCACAUUAUCAUAAGCUUGUCUAUGGAAUAUACAUGACCAUGAAGAAGGUUGCACAUUAUUUCUCUGACCACUCCAUUACAGUCAUCAGCGACGUGCCGCUAUCUGAAAUUCUGAAUAACAGAGAUGCAACUGGUCGAGUGGAAAAAUGGGCGAUUGAACUCCUUCCAUUUGAUAUCAAGUUUGAGGCAAAGAAAGCUAUCAAGUCCCAAGCAAUCGCAGAUUUCCUUGCCGAGUGGAUUGAGAAGCAAUUGCCAACUCAAGUUCACUCGGAGCAUUGGACUAUGUUCUUUGAUGGCUCCAAGAUGCUGAAUGGUUCAGGUGCUGGGGUAGUAUUGGUAUCCCCCCGUGGAGACAAGCUUAGUUAUGUUCUCCAGAUUCAUUUUGAUUCCUCCAAUAAUGAAGCCGAAUAUGAAGCACUUUUAUAUGGGUUGCGUAUGGCCAUUUCACUCGGCGUCCGUCGCCUUAUGGUCUACGGCGACUCAGAUUUGGUGGUUAAUCAAGUGAUGAAGGAAUGGGAUGUUAGGAGCCCAGCCAUGACUGGUUAUUGCAAUGAAGUAAGAAAGCUGGAAAAGAAGUUUGAAGGUUUGAAGCUUCACCAUAUACCCCGACUGAAAAAUCAAGCUGCAGAUGAGUUGGCAAAGAUAGGCUCAAAGAGAGAGGCCAUUCCCCAAAAUGUGUUUUUGGAACAUAUUCAUUCACCUUCAGUUCAGGAAGAUCCUUUCACCGAAGAAUCACCACAGCCCAAGAGUGCCACAGAUCUGACUGAAGUCGAAAUCCCAGCCGUGGUCGACUUAGUCAUGGAGGUUUUGGUCAUCACUCUAGGCUGGACAGUGUCGUACAUUGCAUACAUUCUUAGGAAAGAACUUCCAGAAGAUGAAGAAGAGGCUCGAUAGAUCGUCCGACGGUCUAAAGAGUUUACCAUGAUAAAAGGUCAGUUGUUCAGAGAAAGUGUAACUGGGGUCUGCCAGAAGUGCAUCAUGCUAGAAGAAGGCCGAAUGAUCCUCAAUGAUAUUCACUCGGGGACCUGUGGUCACCAUGCGUCCUCUUGGACCAUCGUGGCCAAAGCAUAACGAGCUGGGUUUUACUGGCCACAUGCCAACGAAAUGGCAAAAGAAAUAGUGGACAAGUGUGAAGGUUGUCAGUUUUACUCCAACAUGUCCCAUAAACCUACAUCAGCUCUGAAGACUAUUCCACUCGUCAGGCCUUUUGCUGUUUGGGGAUUGGACAUGGUUGGACCUCUGAGGACCGGCAGGAGCGGAUUUACCCAUGUGCUAGUAGAAGUCGACAAGUUUACCAAGUGGAUCGAAGCCAAGCCCAUUAAAAACCUUGAAGCAAGUACUGCUGUGAGUUUCAUGAGAGAAUUGGUAUUCAGAUAUGCCGUACCGCACAACAUCAUCACUGACAACGGAUCGAACUUCGACUCUGAUGAAUUCAGAGCCUUUUGUGCUUCCCAAGGCACGAGGGUCGAUUACGCUUCGGUCGCCCAUCCUCAGUCGAAUGGGCAGGCUGAGUGAGCGAAUGGAUUGAUUCUCAAGGGACUGAAGCCCUGGUUGAUGCGUGACCUCAAGCACGCAGCAGGAGCUUGGGUCGAUGAGCUCCCAUGAGUGCUUUGGGGGCUGAGGACAACUCCCAAUCGGUCGACUGGACAGACUCCAUUCUUCUUAGUAUACGGGGCCGAAGCCAUAUUGCCGAGUGAUUUGCUCCACAACGCUCCCCGAGUCAAACUCUUCUCAGAAGAGGAAGCAGAGCAAGCUCGACAAGAUGCAAUCAACCUCUUGGAGGAAGAAAGAGAGAUGGCCUUGAUCCGUUCGACCAUUUAUCAACAAGACUUGCGUAGAUUCCAUGCCAGGAACGUAAGGGGUCGAGCGUUCCAAGAAGGGGUCUUGGUUCUCCGAGUGGACCAGCAGAAGCCACACAAGCUCGCCCCUGCUUGGGAAGGCCCUUUCAUCGUCACCAAGGUGCUCCACAACGGAGCAUACCGUCUCUUCAACAUCGAGCACAACAAAGAUGAACCGCGUGCCUGGAAUGCGGAACUGCUCAGCCCUUUUUACUCCUAAGUAUUUAGACUGAUGAGAUGUAAUAAGAAGCACCUCUUAGUUUGGUUAUCAAAAGACAUAAUUUUACAGUCUUCCGAAUGAUUGUUGUUUAUUUCUUUCGUACGUGUCGCCUUAGCUACGAAUCUGCUUCGCCCAAGAUGAAGUGAUAAAAAUCCUACCGAGUGGUGAGUCUGCCUCUCACUCGGGGGCUUAGCUGCAGUCCAGUACUCGCCUAAGUGAUAAAAUUCCUACCGAGUGGUGAGUCUACCUCUCACUCGGAGGCUUAGCUGCAGUUCAGUACUCGCCUAAGUGAUAAAAAUUCUACCGAGUGGUGAGUCUGCCUCUCACUCAGAGGCUUAGCUGCAGUCCAGUNNNNNNNNNNNNNNNNNNNNNNNNNNNNNNNNNNNNNNNNNNNNNNNNNNNNNNNNNNNNNNNNNNNNNNNNNNNNNNNNNNNNNNNNNNNNNNNNNNNNNNNNNNNNNNNNNNNNNNNNNNNNNNNNNNNNNNNNNNNNNNNNNNNNNNNNNNNNNNNNNNNNNNNNNNNNNNNNNNNNNNNNNNNNNNNNNNNNNNNNNNNNNNNNNNNNNNNNNNNNNNNNNNNNNNNNNNNNNNNNNNNNNNNNNNNNNNNNNNNNNNNNNNNNNNNNNNNNNNNNNNNNNNNNNNNNNNNNNNNNNNNNNNNNNNNNNNNNNNNNNNNNNNNNNNNNNNNNNNNNNNNNNNNNNNNNNNNNNNNNNNNNNNNNNNNNNNNNNNNNNNNNNNNNNNNNNNNNNNNNNNNNNNNNNNNNNNNNNNNNNNNNNNUGCACCGUCAAGAAGAAGGACGAGAUUGUGGUGAGCAGCACUCGCCUAGUUUGAGAAAUCCUUCCGAGUGGUGAGCAGCCCUCCCACUCGGGGGCUUAGCUGCAGUCUAGUACUCGCCUAAGUUUGAGAAAUCCUACCGAGUGGUGAGCAGCCCUCCCACUCGGGGGCUUAGAUGCAGUCCAGUACUCGCCUAAGUUUGAGAAAUCCUGCCGAGUGGUGAGCAACCCUCCCACUCGGAGGCUUAGCCGCAGUCUAGUACUCGCCUAAGUUUGAAAAUUCCUACCGAGUGGUGAGCAGUCCUCCAACUCGGGGACUUAGCUGCAGUUCGAUACUCGCCUAAGUCCGAAUAACCCUACCGAGUGAUGAGCGGGGCUGCAGGUCGACCACGAUACCACCACCACCCGGAGGCUGCACCGUCAAGAAGAAGGAUGAGAUUGUGUGCACCCAUCCAACGGUUGGCCCCUUGCUCAUGAAAGGAACGUCAAGACCAUUGCUGAGUACCUUGUUGAUGAGCUAAUCAAUGCUGCCCAAGGCUCGUCCAACUGUUCGACAGCUGAUCCUUCUUCAGCACCUGCGUCAAACAAAGAGAGACCGAUCCAAGAGAAGAACGGAUUUCACUCGAAGAUAAACCAACAUAUUCAAAGAUAAAUCCAGAGGUUCCUAACCGCAGAUUAAAAGUGCUCGGGCAUCAGGCUCGAAGGAGUUUUAAUGAUUACAAAAUCACUCGGCAUUCCGAGGCAAAUAAAAGUGAGGCAUAAUUUUUUUCCGUCACUCGACGGGCGAAGGGCUAGACGAAUCGCAGAAGCUGUCAAGAUCGAUGCUGUCGGCAAUGCAGGUAGCUGCCUCGAGGAAGGUGUCCAUGAAGUCCUGGAAAGAGUGCUUCUUAGUAUUCGCUACCUUGAGGGCCGCCAGCUUCUCUUCUUUAGCCUCCUUGCAGUGCAUGCGAACCAAUGACAAGGCGACGUCAGCGCCACAGCGGGCAGAGGACUUUUUCCACUCUUGCACUCGGUCAGGGAUUUGGUUGAGUCGAGUCAUCAGUGACUCGAGACUUUGAGAAAGUUCUGCCUGAGGCCAGAGUUCGGCGUCCACUCGGGUCAUCGCAGGCUUCAGCCGAGCCAGAUAGUCGACAGCGCCGUCCAAGCGCGAUUCCAAUCGAAGCAAGUUCAUCGCAACUUCAUCUUUCACGAGACAGUUGAUGGGGUCGAGACCUAUCUCGACCCGUCCAGUUUCAGCUUCAAAGUCCUGGCAAGGUUCUAUUCCAUCGCAAAAAACAAUGAGUUGACAGUAUUGCAAAUUUCAGUCGACGACAUUUAUCUAAAUGAACAACCAUACCUUCAAGCUUCAAGACAAGCUUCGCCGCAAGUUGUUCCAAAUAGGACUCUAGCUUGCUCGUCUUGGCUCUAAGGCCGUCGACUUCAGUGGUCAGGUUCUCCUUGUCCUUCCUCAGUUGCUCGACUUCCCGAUUGGCGUCCGAGACGGCCGUCUUCAACUUCGCGUUCUCAUCCUCCAACUUGCCGACUGAAGCCAGCUUCUGGUCCGCAAGCGUAGUCUUCUCACGAGCUUCUUUUUGAGCAGCAGCAAGGUCCAGGUCCUUCUUCUCCAACGCCUCCUUCAUUCUCUCUAAAGAAACAACACUCUUCAGACGAGCCUGAAGUUGGCAGUUUUCACUACGCACAUCUGCUUAUGUGAAGUCACUCAGUUCAAAGAGAUUGAAUGGAAAGCAGUGGAAAGUGCGAACUACUAAGAAGACAAAACGGUCGAAUGGUUACCUCCCAUGAUGACCAUCUCUUGUUGAGCAGUCUUGAGAUUCUUAUUGGCGAGCAAGGUCAAGUUCAACGCUGAUAUGCUUCUUCUUUAACUCGGAAAGACGAGCUCCAAGAUCACAAGACCUCUGCAGUCAGCAAGAGUGAUAUGUCAGUCGACAGAAAUAAAGGACAUCGAUAGAGAAAAGUUACUCUAAGACUACUGCCGAAUCAAAUAUUCAACAAGUAGUCUUGGGGACUACACCCAAUGGGUGCACUUAGCGUGCCCCCACUGGUUCAGAUCAAUACUCAACAGGGUCUGCCCAGCGUGAGUUCAAAAAAGAGAAGUACAUUCUAAGACCUCAGUCGACUGCCAGCAGUCGACCGUGGUCUCGGGGACUACACCCAGUGGGUGCACUUGGCGUGCCCCCACUGAUUCAAAAAGUCUACUAAGAUUCAACUCAAGUUGAGUGGCAUGGAAAAUUUCCCAGGCUCUAAGCAACAAAACACCCCAUGUGGGUGAUCAGAUAUAAGACAAUAGUCGAAAAUUCAGUUGGAGUCUUGCUGACCUGAACAUUGGCUUGAAGGGCAGUACUGGCGUUGUAAGCCACCUGGCUAGCCUCAUGCACCAUCUUCACCUGCUCCAUGACAAGGUUCACCUGGCGAAGAGCUUCCCCAACGGCACUCGGCGAGUCAUCCAGAGUCUGAUACGCAGCAAAAAGUGAUGGUUGUAGAGCAGCCGAAGCAGUCGUUGAGUCAGAGGCGUGAGGUUGCACUGGAGCAGCAGGAGUCGGAGCAGUCGAGCCCACCGGAUGAUCAGUCGGCAGCAGGCUGCCGAAUGUGACGCUGGUCCGAACAGGCUCUCCAGAACGUUCGACCACCGCCUCGAGCGCCGGCGUCGACUGAGGGACCUGAACUUCAAGCCUCCUCCUACCAGAGCUCCCACUCUUCUUCCUCCUCUCCUGUAGAGGUGCCUCUUCUUCGUCAUCAAGGAGCACAACAACUUCUUGCAGAACUACAGAAAGAGAGAAAUGUUAGAAACUCUGCUGAUUGGCGAUCUACUCAACUUAAUGAAGCUUGGUCGAUCAGACUUACCGACUCGUGAGGCGGCCUCUUUGUCUCCUGCCGCCUUGUCAAUGUCCAUGUCAGUGGCAGCAGAGGUGGGACUGGAAAGACACAUGAAUUGGUUGGUCAGAACAAGAAAAAUCUUCAGUCGACCUACGAAAACGCAAGCGAGAUACUCACCCCGAAGCAACAGGGACGUCCAUCUUGAUCCAUGGCAAUGUCUUCCGAGCCUUGGGCGGAGCAACUUUAGGCUGCUUGGCCACCUUCUUCGUCGGCUCCGGAGUCGACGUCCGAGUGCGCUUGUGAGUGUUGGCACUCGGAGCCACGCUUUUCCCGCGCCCGCUAGAUGGAUCAUGCUGCUAUUUCGAUCGACGUUCAGAGCGCGGCGGUGAGUCGACUUCUUCCUCCUCGUCUGACUCCUCGCUCUCCUCCUCCUCCUCUUCUCCGGAGACUCCCACUCACCACUCUCCUCCGCACUGUCCUCCCCCUCCUGGUCCUGCUCCAAAGCCGGUUAGCCGUUGGGCAUCGAAUGCAUCUCAGUGAAUACCUGCAGAGCAAAUCGAUCGAGUAAGAGUCAGCCAACAUCAAGUACAGUCGGAACGCGAGCGGGAAGCAGUCAGAACAAAGAGUAUACCUUGUCGGGCGGGUUGCCGCCGCUGAAAGGGACGACUCGCCUGGAUCCUCUAGGGUUGUCCUGGUUGCCUGUGAUACCCCUCAGCCACAAAGCUACGGUUUCAGAUGGCACUUCUUAUGGAUGGACCCGAGCGGUGUCGUCCGGUUCGGAAUACAGCCACAUCGGGUGAUCGCGAGCCUGGAGAGGCUGGAUGCGCCGACUGAGGAACACUUCCAGCAAGUCCAGGCCGGUAACGCCAUCAUUGAUGAGCUGGACCACUCUGUCCACCAACAUCCUCAUCUCCACGGUCUCAGCAACGGUUACUUUCAGUGGAGUAGGAGUCUGAACACGGUCGAACGAGAAGUGGGGAAGACCGGUCGACUGACCUGGAGCUGCGACGUCCUGGCAGUGGAACCAGGACGACUGCCAACCUCUAACAGAUUCAGGGAGAGUCACAGCGGGAAAGGCACUCCUAUUCCUCUUUUGGAUACCUAAACCCCCGCACAUCUGGAUGACAUGAGUUUUCGAGUCACUCGACUUCGCCUUUUUUACCUACAGGAAAAGAAUGGUGAAGAUAUGUUUGAAGAGACCCCAGUGUGGUCGACACCCUAAGAAGUUCUCGCACAUCGAUACAAACGCAGCUAAAUACGUGAUGGUGUUGGGAGAAAAGUGGUGGAGCUGAGCGCCCAAGAAGUUCAAAAAUCCCCGGAAGAAAGGGUGCGGAGGGAGCGAGAAACCUCGGUCGACGUGAGUGGCAAGUAGAACACACUCACCCGGUCGAGGUUGUGGUUCCGUCUCCCCUUUCGGCAGCCUCGGCGCUCCCUUGGCAAUCAGCCCGGACUCCUCCAGUUCGGCCAGAUCCUCCUGCCGUUCCGAAGAUCGGAUCCAAUCGCCCUGGAUCCAGCCCGGCGGCAACCCCGCACGCGGCGACGAUCCGCGGUUCUGCUUCUUGCCUUUCACCGCCCCCGUCGCCUUCUUAGCGUGCUCUAGCGCCGCCGUCUUGCCCUUCACCAUGGCGGGGGGAGCAGCGGCGUCGAGAGCGGAGGCGCUGGGCACGGUGGAGAAGCGGAGGAGAAAGAAGGGGGAGCAGGCGUGCACAGUGCAAGUGCCUCGGCCCCGUCACCUUAUAAAGGGUCACUUCCGAGUGACUGACGCGUGGGACCAGGCAAUCCCGUCAAAUCCCGCAACAGUUGCGCGCAGCGUACGUGGCGAAAAAGGGGGCGCGGUAAUUGAGGCAUCGCUACUUAUCCGGACCGCCCGUUUCGGCGCUCUCCGGCCCACGCGCUUCCCCGAAAUUUUGUAUCCCGCGAAAUCCGGGAUACACCGCAGACAAUUGCGCCCAAGAUCUCGCGCUCUGACACAGCACUCGACGCAUGAGGUCACCAGUUCAGUCGACAGCUCACUGAAUGGAUCAAGGCGACUGAGUCGACACCGAACUACCAACGCGGGCGUUCGGUCUUGCAGAAAACACUCGCGAAGACACGAAGCUCGGAGCAGGUUCAACUUCGAUCUACUUUCCACUCGCACCUUAAUCCAUUCGGGGGCUACUGCCGAGGAUACAAACCUGGGGUAGGGUCAUAGGCCUGACCUACACGUCCUACCCAAGGUCACUACCCCGGAAGAUAAAAAGACCAAGAGACAACAGGAGAGCACCGGUCGAGUGCGUCGAGUGCAAUCCACUCGACGGCCACAUCACUCGGAGGUCCUCCUCCCUACCGUCACUCGACCAUAUGGAGAGUCACUCGACUUAUCGAAGACCAGGAGUCGGAAGGGCACGGCACUGCCGGACGUUCACCCCUUAGCCUUUAUAAGCAUUAAGAGUACUUAAGGCUGGCGUUACCAGUAAUGCCUCUUACUUUAUGUAUAUUAAGCCCCUUGUAGUGGAGGUGGGCGGGGGUCCUGGCGCACUCUAUAUAAGCCACCCCCCUUCUUUGGGACAAGGGUUGGCAUCCCCUGUAAUAUCACACACAUAAUCCAAUCGACCGCCUCCGGGCACCGAAACGUAGGGCUGUUACUUCCACUGCGAAGGGGCUGAACUCGUAAACCUCGUGUGUAAACCUUCACCAUAGCUGAGAUCUUGCUUCUCCAUACCUACACCCCUUUCUACUGUCAGUCUUAGGACCACGACAACGACAAUGAGGUUAAUGGUGGGCUGCAGACGGAUGGACGGAUGGCGUCGGAGUAUGUUCCUCGGCAACCGCAUAUCAUUAAUGUAGGGGCGACGGACCGACGUGGUGUCGUUUGAACACGGAGCAGUCGCCGGCACGCCGCUUCAAUGCUGGCAUCAGUGAGAGGUCGCGCCUCUUUGCCCGGGCAUGAAUGCGGCACUGGCGCUCUGGAGCGGCAUCGACUAUUUAGGAGGGGAAGCGCACGGGCGAGGGAGGGGUUUUUCAUGGACGAGGUUAGUCAGACGCGGGCGUGGCUGUUAUCCGGACGCCCGCAAAGCCCCCUAAUUUGUCUCCGGUUUUCGGGAAUAAUGAAUCCAUACCGUCGUGCGGAACAAUUCAAUCCAGCGUUGGAUGGCACAACAUGUCCAAGCCACGCGGUUUGAACUGCUGCGGAUGGUUUGAGGGUUGGUAUUGGAGAUGUCCUAACUGCACAUGCUAGCCAGUAUUCCACUCCAUGGUGGUUCAAAAACUGCACUACUGGAUACAAACUACACUACGGCCAAAGGAAGAUGAAUUGCUCUUGAAGUGAAGUUGAAGAAUAUACUCUUCCUUUUUUACGAAGGCGGGUCGAUUACGAUGAGUCAUCUCACAAGCCAUACAUGUCGUCCUCAGACCAGGGAAGGGAAGGGAUCACAUCAGCUUCACCGCGGAAGGAGUGCCACUCCAUGGGGCGAGCUCUGAGGGCCUCAUGGCAGGCCGCCUUAUCUGCCACGCAGCACGCCCGGUGGGCCCCACGGAGGCCCUGCCCGUUGGCCUUCAUGGCUCCUAUAUAGCCUCCAUCCAUCCUAUCCUCCUCUCCUUCGCACGUAUUACCGCGGCUCUUCCCCUGGUCACCGGCGAGAAAAAGGUACACGCACGCUUCUCCGUCUGUCUAACACUUCCCUUUGAUGGAUUCUACUACUUGUAUUUGCGGCUCAUCAUUGCCGUCUUACCGAAACUCUAGCAGCUAGGCUUUUCGGCGCAGUAAUACCGAUUUUCUAGAGUAGCCGGAGGUUGGAAAUACUAGUACUUUUUUUAGUACGGAGUAUUGCUCAGCGAAGCACGCAGGAGUGUGAUUAACGCAGAGGAAUAGCUUGCGUAUGACUUGAUUGGUUGAUUGGUUCUCCUCUCUCUGAGUACUGUCGCCCGGAUAAGCACGCGGGCAGUGUGCCAUGUCACAGGCUUUUGCGUGCGUGCAGCUUAAUCUUUCGUUCUAGGUCCGUUUAGAACACUCGAGGCUUCCUUGAGUAGUUUUCAAGUAGCCCUCGUCUUCUUAAUUUGAGAGAUGGCAAGAGUACUGUUAUACUUUUUCUUAAGGCAGUGACUGGUAUUCUACUAAGUUUGCUUUCUGUGGGUCAUUUUGCCAUGCUUCUUUGAGAACUAUAAUUUUUUUUAUAGAGAAACAUUGAUAAAUAACAUUUUCAGUAGAUAAAACAUUCUUAGAUUUCCUGGGAAAUACUGUUUUAGUCUAAAAAAGAUAGGUAAAUAAACAGGCUUUCUAAUUUAACAUUGUAGACGUCGCAAAGAUUAAAUGAUAUUAUUUUACAGGACGACUUAACUUUAUAAUCUUUUAAUAGGAUCAAAGCGGUGAAAUGAUUUUUUUAGGCUAUCUAUUUGAAAACAGCCUCUAGGUAUGAAAAUGAACAUACUUUCUCGUACAAUCCAGAAAACAGAUCGAAUUCCACUAUCAAGAAAUAACAGAUCAAAACAAGCAAAAAUAGCAUCCUAGUGCAAACACACUACAGAGUCUUAAAAUGGCCUAAAAACAGUGACAGCUGCCGCUUGCACUGCUAACAGCAAAAAAUGGAAAUGAGCAUAUAUAUAUAGACCAGGAAAAUAGAUUCAGCCCGUUGUUCCCACGAUUUUCUGUUGAUUUUAACCACAGAGCCCGUGUUUGGUUUCUACUCUACUGUUCCCAUCGUAGCACGAUGGACUACAUGAAUGGGCCAGGCCGGAACCACCUGUUCGUCCCUGGGCCGGUGAACAUUCCGGACCAGGUGAUCCGCGCCAUGAGCCGGCAGAACGAGGACUACCGCUCGCCGGCGAUCCCUGCCCUCACCAAGACCCUCCUGGAGGACGUGAAGAAGAUCUUCAAGACCACCACCGGCACCCCCUUCCUCUUCCCCACCACCGGCACCGGCGCCUGGGAGAGCGCGCUCACCAACACGCUCUCCCCGGGGGACCGGAUCGUGUCCUUCUCGCUGGGGCAGUUCAGCCUGCUGUGGAUCGACCAGCAGCAGCGCCUCGGGUUCAGCGUGGACGUGGUGGAGUCCGACUGGGGCUACGGCGCCGACCUCGGCGUCCUCGAGUCCAAGCUCCGCAGUGACUCGCAGCACACCAUCAAGGCCAUCUGCAUCGUCCACAACGAGACCGCCACCGGCGUCACCAACGACCUCCACGCCGUCCGCAAGCUCCUCGGUCCGUCCGUGCUCCAUCCAAGCUAAUCUAGCUACCUCUUGCAUGCAUCGAUCUUGAUAUGCUUACGUGUGGAUAAUGAUUUGUAUGAUGCAGAUGCGUACCGGCACCCGGCGCUGCUGCUGGUGGACGGGGUGUCGUCCAUCUGCGCGCUGGACUUCCGCAUGGACGAGUGGGGCGUGGACGUGGCCCUGACGGGGUCGCAGAAGGCGCUGUCGCUGCCGACGGGGCUGGGCAUCGUGUGCGCCAGCCCCAAGGCGCUGGAGGCGGCCAAGACGGCCAAGUCGGUGCGCGUCUUCUUCGACUGGAAGGACUACCUCAAGUUCUACAAGAUGGGCACCUACUGGCCCUACACGCCCUCCAUCCAGCUCCUCUACGGCCUCCGCGCCGGCCUCGACCUCCUCUUCGAGGAGGGCCUCGACAACGUCAUCAAGAGGCACACACGCCUCGGCACCGCAACAAGGUACGUACCUACCCUGCUCCACCAAUUCUUGUCUGUCUCUGGGCUUGAUGAAAAAUGGACCAAAACAGGCUGGCGGUGGCGGCGUGGGGACUCAAGAACUGCACCGCGAAGGAGGAGAACUUCAGCGACACGGUCACCGCCGUCGUGGUGCCGCCGUACAUCGACAGCUCCGAGAUCGUCAAGCACGCGUGGAAGCGGUACAACCUCAGCCUCGGGCUCGGGCUGAACAAGGUCGCCGGCAAGGUCUUCAGGAUUGGACACCUGGGCCACCUCAACGAGGUACGUACGCACGUCGCCGUAGAAACUGCUUGCAAUCUGCAUCCCCGAUGACCAAUGCGUGCUUUGUCGUCUUUGCUGCAGCUGCAACUUCUGGGUUGCCUCAGCGGGGUGGAGAUGGUGCUCAAGGACAUCGGGUACCCGGUGAAGCUCGGCAGCGGCGUGGCGGCCGCCGCGGCGUACCUCUCGAAUUCCACGCCCCUCAUCCCCUCCAGGAUCUGAGCAAAUCCAACGCACGAAAGCAAGGGGGCCGCGAGAAGAACAAACAUCAUGCAGUGCCCUGCUUCGGGAGCAGAGCAGGCGUAGUACACUACUGGUUCUGGUUAUACUCUGUGUAUGUAAAGUUGAUUUUCACACACCCAUCUGUGCUAAAGGAGUAUAAUUUCGUCAGCUGAAGCUUUAAUUACAGAAAAUUGAACCCGGAUUAAUAUUACAUCAUGUGCCUGUUCUAGCUAGGCUUGGUAUUGCUGAUUGAUCUACUCUGUUUC
rnacentral:lncRNA from 1 species